GACGAACGCUGGCGGCGUGCUUAACACAUGCAAGUCGAGCGGAGCGGCGAACGGGUGAGUAACGCGUGAGUAACUGCCCCCCUCUCUGGGAUAACAGUAGGAAACGGCUGCUAAUACCGGAUAGUGGGGGAUGACUCGCGUCCUAUCAGCUUGUGGGUGGGGUAGUGGCCUACCAAGGCGACGACGGGUAGCCGGCCUGGGAGGGCGACCGGCCACCUUAGGCUGAGAUACGUCCCAAACUCCUACGGGGGGCAGCAGUGGGGAAUAUUGCACAAUGGAGGAAACCCCGAUGCGGCGACGCGCGUGCGGUAUUACGUCCUUCUGGUUGUGAACCACUAUCAGCCAUAAUGCGGUAGUUGCAGAGGAAGCACCGGCUAACUACGUGCCAGCAGCCGCGGUAAUUC
rnacentral:rRNA from 1 species